rnacentral:rRNA from 1 species
GAUGAACGCUAGCUACAGGCUUAACACAUGCAAGUCGAGGGGAAACGGCGUUGAGUGCUUGCACUCUUCGGACGUCGACCGGCGCACGGGUGAGUAACGCGUAUCCAACCUUCCCAUAACUAAGGGAUAACCUACCGAAAGGCAGACUAAUACCUUAUGUAAUUCUUAGAUGACAUCAGAAGAGAAUGAAAGAUUUAUCGGUUAUGGAUGGGGAUGCGUCUGAUUAGCUUGCUGGCGGGGUAACGGCCCACCAGGGCAUCGAUCAGUAGGGGUUCUGAGAGGAAGGUCCCCCACAUUGGAACUGAGACACGGUCCAAACUCCUACGGGAGGCAGCAGUGAGGAAUAUUGGUCAAUGGGCGCAAGCCUGAACCAGCCAAGUAGCGUGCAGGAUGACGGCCCUAUGGGUUGUAAACUGCUUUUUAAGGGGAAUAAAGAGGGACACGCGUGUCCUGUUGCAUGUAGCCUUAGAAUAAGGACCGGCUAAUUCCGUGCCAGCAGCCGCGGUAAUACGGAAGGUCCGGGUGUUAUCCGGAUUUAUUGGGUUUAAAGGGAGCGUAGGCCGCAGGUUAAGUGUGUUGUGAAAAGCAGUCGCCCAACGUCUGCCUUGCAGCGCAAACUGUCCUGCUUGAGUGCGCACAACGCAGGCGGAAUUCGUCGUGUAGCGGUGAAAUGCUUAGAUAUGACGAAGAACUCCGAUUGCGAAGGCAGCUUGCGGGAGCGCAACUGACGCUGAAGCUCGAAGGUGCGGGUAUCGAACAGG